rnacentral:rRNA from 1 species
CAACGGUUAUUUUNGGUGAACUUGAAUUAAAUGUGCAAAUGCAUUUAUGUGGAAGACAGACCAGAAGACCCUGUGAAGUUAGAAAUUUUUGGUUUGCAUUUANAGAUUUUCUCAUAGUUAAAGUUAGAAGUUUUGGCUGGGGCAGCAAAAAGGCAAAUCAAGACCUUUUUAUCUAAUCAACGGGUGCGUAACGACCCACACGGGCGGUAAAGUGUGCUUAGCAGAAGGAGUUACUCCAGGGAUAACAGCGUUAUCCACCCUGACAGUUCCUAUAUAUGGGUGGGUUUGCGACCUCGAUGUUGGCUCUGGGUUUCCGGAGGCUGUAGGUGGUCUCGAAGGUUGGUUUGUUCACCCAUUAAAACCCAACGUGAUCUGAGUUCAAACCAGA